rnacentral:rRNA from 1 species
ACAGAGGUGGCGAGCGUUAUUCGGAAUUAUUGGGCGUAAAGGGCGCGUAGGCGGCUUGACAAGUCCCGGGUGAAAUCCCACGGCUCAACCGUGGAACUGCUGGGUAUACUGGGUGUCUUGGGCCAUUCAGGGGCGACUGGAACAAGCGGUGGAGCGGUGAAAUGCGUAGAUAUCGCUUGGAACGCCGAAGGUGAAAACAGGUCGCUGGGGAUGUGCCGACGCUGAGACACGAAAGCCAGGGGAGCAAACGGGA